rnacentral:rRNA from 1 species
CCUACGGGAGGCAGCAGUGGGGAAUUUUGGACAAUGGGCGCAAGCCUGAUCCAGCCAUGCCGCGUGUGGGAAGAAGGCCUUCGGGUUGUAAACCACUUUUGUCAGGGAAGAAACGGUCUGAACUAAUACUUUGGACUAAUGACGGUACCUGAAGAAUAAGCACCGGCUAACUACGUGCCAGCAGCCGCGGUAAUACGUAGGGUGCAAGCGUUAAUCGGAAUUACUGGGCGUAAAGCGUGCGCAGGCGGCUUUGCAAGACAGAUGUGAAAUCCCCGGGCUCAACCUGGGAACUGCAUUUGUGACUGCAUGGCUAGAGUACGGUAGAGGGGGAUGGAAUUCCGCGUGUAGCAGUGAAAUGCGUAGAUAUGCGGAGGAACACCGAUGGCGAAGGCAAUCCCCUGGACCUGUACUGACGCUCAUGCACGAAAGCGUGGGGAGCAAACAGGAUUAGAUACCCUGGUAGUCCACGCCCUAAACGAUGUCAACUGGUUGUUGGGAGGGUUUUCUUCUCAGUAACGAAGCUAACGCGUGAAGUUGACCGCCUGGGGAUACGGCCGCAAGGUUGAAACUCAAAGGAAUUGACGGNNGAGAGNGCGAGACGACGACGAGGGAGGAGG